rnacentral:tRNA from 1 species
AUGCACGAGUGGCGGAAUUGGUAGACGCGCUAGCUUCAGGUGCUAGUGUCCUUCGGGACGUGGAGGUUCAAGUCCUCUCAUCUGUACCA